GGUUUUUUAGUUUAUAAGAAUAAGUAAUUUGCAUUUACUAGGAGCAUUUGUAAAAACCA
rnacentral:tRNA from 1 species